rnacentral:lncRNA from 1 species
UGUAUGGGUUGUGUGGAGAGCUGAGCUCCUAAAAAAGUGAUUUACUCAAACUCCUCAUCUCACCUCAUCUUUGAGUAGAAAAUCUCGUAAACCAGAGAUUGGAUCGAUUGUCUAUGAGAAUUCGAUCCCUGAGACUUGGACUUAUCACUAAUAAGCGAAGUCGAAAAGUUACAAAGACAAUGUGAAAAAGUUGAAAGUGUGUAUUAG